GACGAACGCUGGCGGCGUGCUUAACACAUGCAAGUCGAACGAAGAGCGAUGGACGCUUGCUUCUAUCAAUCUUAGUGGCGAACGGGUGAGUAACGCGUAAUCAACCUGCCCUUCAGAGGGGGACAACAGUUGGAAACGACUGCUAAUACCGCAUACGAUCUAAUCUCGGCAUCGAGGAUAGAUGAAAGGUGGCCCCUACAUGUAAGCUAUCACUGAAGGAGGGGAUUGCGUCUGAUUAGCUAGUUGGAGGGGUAACGGCCCACCAAGGCGAUGAUCAGUAGCCGGUCUGAGAGGAUGAACGGCCACAUUGGGACUGAGACACGGCCCAGACUCCUACGGGAGGCAGCAGUGGGGAAUCUUCCGCAAUGGACGAAAGUCUGACGGAGCAACGCCGCGUGAGUGAUGACGGCCUUCGGGUUGUAAAGCUCUGUUAAUCGGGACGAAAGGCCUUCUUGCGAAUAGUGAGAAGGAUUGACGGUACCGGAAGAGAAAGCCAUGGCUAACUACGUG
rnacentral:rRNA from 1 species